rnacentral:misc_RNA from 1 species
AGCAGCCGCGGUAAUUCCAGCUCCAAUAGCGUAUAUUAAAGUUGUUGCAGUUAAAAAGCUCGUAGUUGAAUUUCGGGGUUAGUAGGUUGGUCAUGCCUCUGGUAUGUACUGGUCUCACUGAUUCCUCCUUCCUGAUGAACCUUAAUGCCAUUAAUUUGGUGUUUUGGGGAAUUUGGACUGUUACUUUGAAAAAUUAGAGUGUUUAAAGCAGGCUAACGCUUGAAUACAUUAGCAUGGAAUAAUGAAAUAGGACGUUCGAUCCUAUUUUGUUGGUUUCUAGGAUUGACGUAAUGAUUAAUAGGGAUAGUUGGGGGCAUUAGUAUUCAAUUGUCAGAGGUGAAAUUCUUGGAUUUAUUGAAGACUAACUACUGCGAAAGCAUUUGCCAAGGAUGUUUUCAUUAAUCAAGAACGAAAGUUAGGGGAUCGAAGACGAUCAGAUACCGUCGUAGUCUUAACCAUAAACUAUGCCGACUAGGGAUCGGAUGAUGUUAAUUUUUAAUGACUCAUUCGGCGCCUUACG